rnacentral:tRNA from 1 species
GGGGAUGUGGCUCAAGUGGUAGCGCGCUCGCCUAGCAUGCGUGCGGCCUGGGUUCAAUCCUCAGCAGCACCA